AGCUAGUGUGGCAUAGUGGUUUGAGAACUGGAACACAACUCUGGAGACCAGGGUUCGAUUCCCAGCUUGGCCA